CAGCACUCCUGAGAGACCAGCUUUCUCUCUGAUCUUAGAGCUGAAGAAGUACACAGUCACAUCCAAGGGCUGUUGUGUGAUCUGUGAUUCUCCAGCCUCUGUCACCAUGAACUGUAAGUUGCUGUCUCAUCUUUAAUGAACUGGGACUCGGGCUUUUGUUACGCCAAUGGAAAAUAAAAAACAGACUGCUGAUAUCUG